rnacentral:lncRNA from 1 species
UUAUCAUAGUUCCGUUAUUCUAAUUGUUAUAUAAAAGCUAAUAAGUAUCAAAUUUUAAGAUCAACUUCUAUUUUUUUUCCCAUAUUAUUUUAUUGUGUAUACAUUAUGUCUUGCCAAAUACUAGAUAGUUGUCAAGAACAUGAACUGGAAGAAGAUGCAUAAACUUGAAAAAUUUGUGUUAAAUGAAAAGUGAAAAAAAAACAAUA